AACGGGUAACGGGGAAUUAGGGUUCGAUUCCGGAGAGGGAGCCUGAGAAACGGCUACCACAUCCAAGGAAGGCAGCAGGCGCGCAAAUUACCCACUCCCGGAACGGGGAGGUAGUGACGAAAAAUAACGAUACGGGACUCAUCCGAGGCCCCGUAAUCGGAAUGAGAACACUUUAAAACCUUUAAACGAGGAUCAAUUGGAGGGCAAGUCUGGUGCCAGCAGCCGCGGUAAUUCCAGCUCCAAUAGCGUAUAUUAAAGUUGUUGCAGUUAAAAAGCUCGUAGUU
rnacentral:rRNA from 1 species